AAGGAAACAUAAUAGUUAAUACAAGAAUCUUUCAGUUCUUUAACAAUACUUAUCCCUAUUCCUCAAUGCCUCUCAGUUUUAAAUUCUCAUUUAUCCUAUUGGCUAUGCAUUUUUUUUUAUCCUAUUCAAAACUGAGUAUUGUUUAUCCAGAUAAUCUUAAUUCUUUUCAAAAGAAUACUGAAUUAAUAAAGUCUUUUAGUCUUUCUGCAUCACAGUGGGAUUUUCCUUAAGACACCAGAAAGGAACAAUGGGUCAACUGAAGCGUCAUAAUGAUCUAUUGUGUCACUUAGGUGGACUUAUUUUCAUCUCUGUCCAUGCUUAUGUCAGAGUCGCAUGCAUACUUGGAAGGCCACAGCAUGUGUAAGACAUCAGUCCAGGAGAUUCAGUGAGCUGGGACUCCUUUAGCCUGACCUUGGUCAGGAGUGACAUCUAUUUUCUGGCUGAUUGCACACAUAUUUGCAAACUGUGUGCAGAUGAAACUAAUUUGUUUUUAUGCAAGUUUUUUUUUUCUGUGUGACCAUAAAAAAGUGGGUGUUGGCUAGACUCUGGGCAGGACACCUUCCCCCCAUUUGACAGCUACAGAAAUAGCUGAUGAAGGAUGUGUCUCUGCUUGAGUUCACAAAUGGAAGGAACCUCUGGGUUUAGACCAGUGUAUGGAACACGGCUGGAGCCCAGGGACCAUUUUCAUGUAUGUGAUCAUCUUCAGGCCAUCUUGCUCUACCCAUCCCAUCAUGCAUCUGGAGCAGCUGAGGGUCCAGACGGUACUCGACUGAGAGCCAUGCUUGUGUGUCUCAUUCUAGUGGACUGAGACUGGACGUCUAGACGACAUUUGUGUCCUGCAUUGCCAGGGGUGAUGGCUUUAUGCAAAUGCAGCAGUGUUAAGAAAACAUGCUGAUCUAGGGCUCUAGUCAUGUGACUCGGAGGGCUGUCACAGUUGGACAAUGAAUGAUUCCUUUCUGUUUUUCAUGCUUGUUUGUGUAGGAUGUUUGAUUUAUUAGAGGUGGGU
ensembl:lncRNA